rnacentral:rRNA from 1 species
AUUGAACGCUGGCGGCAUGCUUUACACAUGCAAGUCGAACGGUAACAGGCCGCAAGGUGCUGACGAGUGGCGAACGGGUGAGUAAUGCAUCGGAACGUGCCCAGUCGUGGGGGAUAACGCAGCGAAAGCUGCGCUAAUACCGCAUACGAUCUAUGGAUGAAAGCGGGGAACCGUAAGGCCUCGCGCGAUUGGAGCGGCCGAUGUCAGAUUAGGUAGUUGGGGGGGUAAAGGCUCACCAAGCCAACGAUCUGUAGCUGGUCUGAGAGGACGACCAGCCACACUGGGACUGAGACACGGCCCAGACUCCUACGGGAGGCAGCAGUGGGGAAUUUUGGACAAUGGGCGCAAGCCUGAUCCAGCAAUGCCGCGUGCAGGAUGAAGGCCUUCGGGUUGUAAACUGCUUUUGUACGGAGCGAAAAGGCUUCCACUAAUACUGGGGGCUCAUGACGGUACCGUAAGAAUAAGCACCGGCUAACUACGUGCCAGCAGCCGCCGCCG